UACUCUGAGUUUCAAGUUACAAGAGUGGUUUUUCCACUCACAGGCGCAGGGGGGGGCGAGACCACCAUUCAACUCAAAAAAAGUCAUAUAACCAUUCCAUUGAC